rnacentral:lncRNA from 1 species
AGUUCCUCCAUUCCUUCAAUCUCCAGUUAAUCUAUUUUUUUUUUCUUCAUCAUCCUUCCACAUCCAAAUAUCCACAACAAGAUCAGCACACUAUUAUUUUUAGACGGGACUCCAAAGCUUUGCAUCUUGGUAAGUUUAAUUUUUGCCUUUUCUUGAUUUUUGUUUUCUAUAUUAUCUUUAGUGGAUUUUUUCGUAUUUUCUUCUUUUUUUCCCCCAAAUUUUCAUCCGUUUAUGAAUCAUAAAUUAUUUGGCAGUCAUGUUUGGAGAAGUUAUUUUUUGGAUGAAGUACCAAAUUAAUAAAAUUAGUCAUGUUUGGUUUUUUAAUUUUGUAUUUUUCUGGAAUUAAUAUUUGGAAUGCCCUUUUUUUGUUCCAUUGAUAUUGUUUGUGACAAUAACCGUAUGCAACUAAUUUGUGAUUUAUGAUUAUAGUAUGCAAUCGUAUGCCCUUUUUUUAUUCAAUUAAUUUCUGUGACCAAAAACUAAUUUCUGCUCAAAUGUUCAAAGUUCAUACGGCUUUUUUUAUUUAAUCAAUAUUAUUUCAACUUGAAGUCAAUAAUGAUAUUGACUUGGAAGCAUUUAAGCGUAGGCGCCUUUUGGAUGGUGAUGAAGAUAAUGAUUGGUAAUAUAACAUAUUAAUUAGUAAUGUUUAGUAGCAAUUGAUUUUUUUUGUGUUUGGUUGUAUCUUUGUUUUUCAAAAUUUUUUGGCUUUUCUUUUUUAGUUUCACCAAUUAGAUUUAUAUUUUUUGUAAUAAACUUUUUAACUUUUUCAGGUUAAAUUGAUGAAAUUGUGAAGGGGGUGCUCAUGCCUUGUCAUGCCAAUGAUGGACAUUUGUUAUUCAAAUUGUAUGCCUUGAAUAUGAGUUGAACUCUUUUAUGGACUUUUUUGGAAUUGUGAAA